rnacentral:rRNA from 1 species
UAGGGAAUCUUCGGCAAUGGACGAAAGUCUGACCGAGCAACGCCGCGUGAGUGAAGAAGGUUUUCGGAUCGUAAAACUCUGUUGUUAGAGAAGAACAAGGACGUUAGUAACUGAACGUCCCCUGACGGUAUCUAACCAGAAAGCCACGGCUAACUACGUGCCAGCAGCCGCGGUAAUACGUAGGUGGCAAGCGUUGUCCGGAUUUAUUGGGCGUAAAGCGAGCGCAGGCGGUUUCUUAAGUCUGAUGUGAAAGCCCCCGGCUCAACCGGAGAGGGUCAUUGGAAACUGGGAGACUUGAGUGCAGAAGAGGAGAGUGGAAUUCCAUGUGUAGCGGUGAAAUGCGUAGAUAUAUGAAGGAACACCAGUGGCGAAGGCGGCUCUCUGGUCUGUAACUGACGCUGAGGCUCGAAAGCGUGGGGAGCAAACAGG